AUGGUGUUUGCCACGGGGGCGUUGGGCACCCUACUCCCCAAGUUGGGCAAGCUGCUCAUGGAGGAGUACAAUCUGCAGAAGCGUUUGAAGAAGGGGAUCAAGGACCUGAGGGAUGAGCUCCUGGUCAUACAAGCUGCACUUGUGAAGGUGUCCGAUGUGCCACUAGACCAGCUUGAUCCGCUGGUCAAAAUUUGGGCAAACGAUGUCAGGGAGCUGUCCUUUGCCAUCGAGGACAGCCUCGACUCCUUCAUGGUGCGUGUCGAGGGUGUUGAGCCGACCAAGCCACACACCUUCUUUGGGAUCAUCAAGAAGACCUGUAAGAAGGUCGCCAAGCUCAAGAUUCGUCGCGAAAUAGCCAAUGACAUCAAAGACGUCAAGAUCCAAGUUAAAGAGGUGAAGGAGCGGUUCGACAGAUACAAAGAUGUUAUUGGUAAUACUAAUGCCCGAACGGAAGUUGAUCCACGUCUCUUGGCCAUGUACAACAAAGUAUCUGACCUUAUUGGCAUUGAAAAAUCAAUGGAUGAGCUAACACGGAGGUUAUCUGAGGGCGAUGAUCCAUCCGGUGAACAGCUCAAGGUUGUCUCUGUUGUUGGAUUUGGAGGAUUGGGCAAGACAACUCUUGCUAAAGCUGUGUAUGACAAGCUUAACAAGAAUUUUGAUUGUGGGGUUUUUGUUCCAGUGGGUCAAAAUCCAGACACAAAGAAAGUUCUCAGGGAUAUCCUCCUUGAACUUGACAGGCAGUUGUACAGAGAUGCAUCAACAAUGGAUGAAAGGCAGCUGAUCAAUCAGCUGCAGACAUUCCUAGUAGGAAAGAGGUACUUUAUUGUUAUUGAUGACAUAUGGGAUACACCAACAUGGGAGAUGAUCAAUUGUGCUUUCAUGGAUAGUCAUCCAGAAAGUAGAAUAAUCAUAACAACUCGUGAUUUUGAUGUUGCCACAAAAGCUGGUGGUAUCUACCGCAUGGAACCACUUUCUAAUGAUAACUCCAAAAUGUUAUUCUAUACGAGAACAUUUGGUGGAGAAGGAGCAAGUUCAGAUAACCAGCCUGCUGAGGUGACUAACAAAAUUUUAAAGAAAUGUGGUGGUGUGCCUUUAGCGAUCAUUACAAUAGCUAGCUUGCUUGUUGGUAAACGAUGUGAGGAUUGGUCUAAGGUGUAUGAUGCCAUUGGUUUUGGGCAUGAAGACAACAAAGUUGUUCAUAACACAAGAAAGAUAUUGUCUUUUAGCUAUUAUGAUCUACCUUCCCAUUUGAAGACCUGUUUAUUAUAUCUAAGUAUGUUUCCUGAAGAUAGCUUGAUUGGGAAAAGGACACUGAUUUGGAGGUGGGUCUGUGAAGGUUUUGUCCUAGAUCGAGAAGGUAUAGGGUCAUUUGAGCUCGGGGAGAUCUAUUUCAAUGAGCUAGUUAACAAAAGCAUGAUCCGGUGGAUUGAUGAAGGCCAAGGUGGUUGUCGUAUCCAUGAUAUGGUGCUCGAUCUCAUCCGCACCAUAUCAAAUGAUAUAAACUUUGUUACAGUACAUGAUAUGGAGCAGCAUGGCACAAGUUUGCGAGGACAACAAACAAAUAGGGUUCGCAGAUUAGCACUUCACGGAAGAAGUGUGGAACACAACUCUAGCAUUGCCAUGGAACACCUGAGGUCGUUCAAUGUUGUUGGGUGCAGUGCCAACAGUAUGCACCUGCUUUCGAGCUUUAAAGUACUGCGUGUGCUAGUUAUUGAGGACUGUGUUUUUUCGGAAGGUAGUAGUCUUGAGCAUCUCGGUAAGUUGUUGCAGCUGAGGUACCUGGGGCUAGUGAAGACAGCGGUCAAGAUCCCGGAAGGAAUAGGGCAUGAUCUGAAGUUUCUUGAGAUACUGGAUGUAAGGGGAGGUUUGAUAAGUGAGCUGCCACCAUCUGUUGGUGAGCUAUUGAAUUUGAGGUGCUUGCGCGCUAAUGAGGGUACAGUGAUGAAGGGCAAGAUAGGGAAACUGACAUGCCUUGAAGAGCUGCAGCUAUAUUCGGUGGAGAAGUGCCCAAACUUCUUCACAGAGGUGCGGAAGCUGACGAAGUUAAGGGUGCUCAACAUAUAUUUCGCUGAAAUACAGGAGUCUGCAGGCAAGGCUCUGAUGGAAUCCCUAUGCAACCUGCACAAUAUCCAUAGUCUGACGGUCUUCGAUGAUCGUGGUCCUGAAUAUGCGGUUGUCCUCAAUCAUAGUUUGGAAGACUUGGCACCAUGUACAAAGCUGUACGAGUUAAAUCUACUAGGCAUAGUUAUACCGAGGGUGCCAUCAUGGAUCAAUCAGUUAAGUGUUCCACUCCUUUCUCGUCUAUUGCUGCAUGUGGAUGCGGUAGAAGUUCGGGAUGUUCAAACCAUCGGCAGGUUGCCGUCGCUCCUCGAACUUGGUCUCUGGAGUAAGGAUGAAAGGAACGUAUCAUAUACUUUUGGCAGCAAUGAGUUUCACAAGCUGAGAAUCUUGUGGACGAAGAAGAUAGAGAUCGCUGUUGGAGAAGGAGCAUUGCCGAUGCUUGAAUGGCUGAGAUACACUGCAAGCGCUGAAAGAAAGGACGCUGCCAGCUUGGUGCCGUGGAGGAGAAAUAGCUGUCCUUUGCUGAAGUUUGUCGGGUGUUUCCUUGACUGCACUAACAGCAGCUACAGGGAAGUAAAGGAAGCGAAGCAAGCGCUGUGGGCCGUCCCAAUGCUGUGUAUCGCGAUCUCUACAUAG
rnacentral:rRNA from 1 species